CCCUUGACAUACCGGUCGCGGACACAGAGAUGUGUCUUUCAGUUCGGCUGGACCGGAUACAGGUGCUGCAUGGCUGUCGUCAGCUCGUGUCGUGAGAUGUUGGGUUAAGUCCCGCAACGAGCGCAACCCUCGCCUUAGUUGCCAGCAUUUAGUUGGGCACUCUAAGGGGGCUGCCGGUGAUAAGCCGAGAGGAAGGUGGGGAUGACGUCAAGUCCUCAUGGCCCUUACGGGCUGGGCUACACACGUGCUACAAUGGUGGUGACAGUGGGCAGCGAGCACGCGAGUGUGAGCUAAUCUCCAAAAGCCAUCUCAGUUCGGAUUGCAGUCUGCAACUCGACUGCGUGAAGUCGGAAUCGCUAGUAAUCGUGAAUCAGAAUGUCACGGUGAAUACGUUCCCGGGCCUU
rnacentral:rRNA from 1 species